rnacentral:rRNA from 1 species
UACGAAGGGGGCUAGCGUUGCUCGGAAUUACUGGGCGUAAAGCGCGUGUAGGUGGCCAUGUAGGUCCGCUGUGAAAACUUGAGGCUCAACCUCAAGCUGUCGGUGGAAACCACAUGGCUAGAGUCCGGAAGAGGAGAGUGGAAUUCCUGGUGUAGCGGUGAAAUGCGCAGAUAUCAGGAAGAACACCAAUGGCGAAGGCAGCUCUCUGGGACGGUACUGACACUGAGACGCGAAAGCGUGGGGAGCGAACAGG